rnacentral:rRNA from 1 species
AACGAACGCUGGCGGCAUGCCUAACACAUGCAAGUCGAACGAGAUCUUCGGGUCUAGUGGCGCACGGGUGCGUAACGCGUGGGAAUCUGCCCUUUGGUUCGGAAUAACAGUUGGAAACGACUGCUAAUACCGGAUGAUGACGAAAGUCCAAAGAUUUAUCGCCAGAGGAUGAGCCCGCGUAGGAUUAGCUAGUUGGUGUGGUAAAGGCGAACCAAGGCGACGAUCCUUAGCUGGUCUGAGAGGAUGAUCAGCCACACUGGGACUGAGACACGGCCCAGACUCCUACGGGAGGCAGCAGUGGGGAAUAUUGGACAAUGGGCGAAAGCCUGAUCCAGCAAUGCCGCGUGAGUGAUGAAGGCCUUAGGGUUGUAAAGCUCUUUUACCCGGGAUGAUAAUGACAGUACCGGGAGAAUAAGCUCCGGCUAACUCCGUGCCAGCAGCCGCGGUAA